UACGUAGGGUGCAAGCGUUAAUCGGAAUUACUGGGCGUAAAGCGUGCGCAGGCGGCUUUGCAAGACAGAUGUGAAAUCCCCGGGCUCAACCUGGGAACUGCAUUUGUGACUGCAAAGCUAGAGUACGGCAGAGGGGGAUGGAAUUCCGCGUGUAGCCGUGAAAUGCGUAGAUAUGCGGAGGAACACCGAUGGCGAAGGCAAUCCCCUGGGCCUGUACUGACGCUCAUGCACGAAAGCGUGGGGAGCAAACAGG
rnacentral:rRNA from 1 species